GCUACAUUACCACAUCUAACCUUCCCUACUGAAAAUUAAGUCUGAGCAGCAACAAGUGCCCUGAGACACCAGGAAAGGUCUGGAUGAAUUGUAGCGCUGGGGAAAAGCUGACAAGAGGAAAGCUCUGGAUUCCAAAGUCCUCUAUUCAUUAAGAACAAAUACAGCAUGAGCAACACUAGGUCAAUCCAUUGCCCUGCCAAUGUGACUGAUGCCUGACUUGGGGGAGCCACCUUCUCAGGUGAGAAGAUAGCACAGGUUUUUAUGCCAUUUUUUCUUUGGCCUCUGCUGAGGCUGCCAGCUAGGGUGCUGGUUGCGAUUUGUGACAGUUGUGAUAUGGAGAGGUAUCCAUUUGUGGACUGAAUCCCACAAUUCAUUUCACCAAAGCAAUUGAUCUGCCUGAUAUCUUGGGACCAACACAGCUACAAGGACACUGCAUACAUUAAAUGGCAACAACUUUAGCUCACCACCAACCGGAGCCAGGCUCACACCAGUCAACUAGAACAUGAAAAGCUCCAUUAUCCUGCUACCAUGUCCCCUAGUCAUCCACUCCCCCAAUAGAUGCAGUGUGAAAGGAGCAACUGUACUUGUGUCAGCUGUGGUGGAAUAAACUCAAGCCAGUGGUUUGAAAUGUUAUGGUAGUUGGAAAGGUGUUUGCAUGUCUCACAGCUAUGCUUGGAAAUGGCUCUCCGGUGUGUGUGUUUCACAGCUAUGCUUGGAAGGUUAAUGAGGAAAUAUGUUAAAAGUCUGCAUGAUGAAUGGUAGGGUUGGGGGGCAGUGUGAAGCAUUCAUUGAACUUUCCAGGGCCAAGCCUGACAACAAGUAAUUUUCCCCCUUUUUGGUAAUGUAUUAUUUUAGCAAGGGGGAAUGGUGUCACAAAAAUGGGAAUGGGUUCAAGCCAGGUCAGUAGUGACCAGGCAGUGUUACUAGCUGGUGGUUGUUUGGUGGCCAGUGCAAAAUGUUUUUGUGCUCUCAUUCCAGUUCUUAAUUCCUAGUUGUCCACGUUGCAAAAUCAUUUGCACCCUUAUCUGCAGUUUUAGCAGAAAAGCCAAGGACUGAAUGGUCCUGGGAACUUUGCACCUUUCACACCUAAAAGUGGCGGCUCCAGGAUAGGUUGAAGGCUCAUUGAUUGACCCAUGUGAGGAGGCUUACCCUGUCACUGCCUUUGCUAUCUCUGCUCAGGAGCUAGGGGAUUUCAGUCUCCAGGGUUUGAUAAAUGCUGAAGUGGCUUUUGUUUUUUGUAGAGAUGAGUUAUAAGAAGGAUGGUACUGACAAAUCCAAACACAAAAUAAAUACAAUGACGUUCAA